GAUCGAGAGUUGGUACUUGCAAGUCCAAUAGGCAUUUGCCUACAUUUUUUUCUUGAAUAUUGUUUCGGGUGAUAACGUUUUCACCCUCCGAAAAGUUUACAAAG